UACGUAGGGAGCAAGCGUUGUCCGGAAUCAUUGGGCGUAAAGCGCGCGUAGGUGGCCACAUAAGUCCGUUGUGAAAGUCAAAGGCUCAACCUUUGAAAGCCGAUGGAUACUGUGUGGCUAGAGUACGGAAGAGGCGAGUGGAAUUCCUGGUGUAGCGGUGGAAUGCGCAGAUAUCAGGAGGAACACCUGCGGCGAAGGCGGGUUGCUGGGCCGACACUGACGCUGAGGCGCGAAAGCUAGGGGAGCGAACGGG
rnacentral:rRNA from 1 species